AGUCGAGCGGAACGAUACCAGCUUGCUGGUAGGCGUCGAGCGGCGGACGGGUGAGUAACACUUAGGAAUCUACCUAGUAGUGGGGGAUAGCUCGGGGAAACUCGAAUUAAUACCGCAUACGACCUACGGGAGAAAGGGGGCAACUUGUUGCUCUCGCUAUUAGAUGAGCCUAAGUCGGAUUAGCUAGUUGGUGGGGUAAAGGCCUAGCAUGGCGACGAUGUGUAUCUGGUCUGAGAGGAUGAUCAGCGACACCGGGACUGAGACACGGCCCGGACUCCUACGGGAGGCAGCAGGGGGGAAUAUUGAACAAUGGGGGCAAGCCUGAUCCAGCCAUGCCGCGUGUGUGAAGAAGGUCAUGUCGUUGUAAAGCACUUUCCGCAGUGAAGAAGACCUAACAUGUUAAUACCCGCUUAGUGAGGACCCUAGCUGCAGAUUAAGCACCGGCUAACUCUGUGCCAGCGGCCGGGGUAAUACUGAGGUUGCAAUCGUUAUUUGAAAUUACUGUGGGUAAAGCGAGCGUAGGAUGGCUUGAUACGUCAGGUUUGAAAUCCCCGGGUUUAACCUGGGAACUUCGUUUGAUGCUGAUAGGGUAGAAUAGGUGAGCGCAAGGUAGAAUUCCAGGUGUAGCGGUGAAAUGCGUAGAAAUCUGGAAGUAUACCGGGGGCACAGGCAGCGUUCUUGCAUCAUAUUGUCGCUGAGACUCGAAAUCGUGUGAAGCAGUCAGGACUAGAUACCCUGGUGGUGCACGCCGUAAACGAUGCCUACUGGCCGUUGUGUCCCUUGAGUACUUUCUGACGCAGCUUGCGCAGUAAGUAUACCGCCCGGGGAGUUCGGCCGCAAUGGCUGGAGUUCCCAUGAAGUGACGGGGGGCCCUCAAAAGAUGUGGAGAAUGGUAGAUUAAUCCAAUGCAGGUGUGAAGAAAUCUUAACAUGGCCCGGAUUAUCUAGAGCUCCUGAGGGGAUGCGAGAGUAGGUUCAGAAGGCAGCUUCACGUGCUUGUUGUGUGACGUUAGCUCAUGUCUUGCGAUGUCCGGAUUCGUCCUCCUUAGAUCGCAUCCGUUUAGGCSGRGAACUCUAAGGAUACUGCCAGUGACAAACUGGAGGAAGGCGGGGACGACGUCAAGUCAUCAUGGCCCUUACGACCAGGGCUACACACGUGCUACAAUGGUAGGUACAGAGGGCAGCUACACAGCGAUGUGAUGCGAAUCUUUUAAAGCCUAUCGUAGUCCAGAUUGGAGUCUGCAACUCGACUCCAUGAAGUA
rnacentral:rRNA from 1 species